GACGAACGCUGGCGGCGUGCCUAAUACAUGCAAGUAGAACGCUGAGGACUGGUGCUUGCACUGGUCUAAGGAGUUGCGAACGGGUGAGUAACGCGUAGGUAACCUACCUCAUAGCGGGGGAUAACUAUUGGAAACGAUAGCUAAUACCGCAUGACAAUAGGGUACACAUGUACCCUAUUUAAAAGGGGCAAAUGCUUCACUAUGAGAUGGACCUGCGUUGUAUUAGCUAGUUGGUAGGGUAACGGCUUACCUAGGCGACGAUCCCUAGCUGGUCUGAGAGGAUGACCAGCCACACUGGAACUGAGACACGGUCCAG
rnacentral:rRNA from 1 species